UCUGGCUUCUCCACUUGAGCCAGUAACUUGCUUCACUUAGAUUUAGGUUCCUCCUGUAUAAAAACGGGAAGAAGCAUAGUCUUAAUGUUGAUAGGGUGAUGUGAGAAUUUAAUGCUCUUCUAUACAGCUGGGAAGCACAGCCACUGACACAUAACAAGCAGCCAUGAAACAGCUGCUUACUAUUAUCAGUUACAAUCCCUAUGGCGUUCAAAGAUAACUUGAGGCCUGCACCAUGGAGCCUGUUGGCGUUGACUGACCAGAGUCUGCAAAUUCUCUGCUCUGAUCCUGUCCUGACUGCCCCUACCCCAGCUGUCCAUUCUUUGAAAACAUGGAGAAUUAUGUCCCUGCAUCAGUUGUUACUAGAGCCAAUCACCUGUCAUGCCUGGAAUAGGGAUCCUACCCAAAUUGCCCUUAGCCCCCAUGGUCAUGAAGUGCAGACCUGCAAGAAAAAUGGGAGCCAGUGGUCAAAGCUCAUGAACUCAAGGAGCACAGCAGACACAUCAUAGGUAUUGACUGGGCUCCCAGAAGGGAACCACAUCAUCACUUUUAGGGCUGAUCGCAAGGCCUAUGUCUGGAGUCAGAAAAAUGGUGUCUGGAAGCCGGUUCUGGCGAUCCUGAGAAUUAAUCACGCAGCCACUUUUGUGAAGUGGUCUCCGCUAAAGAACAAAUUUGCUGCAGGAAGUGAAGCAUGACUCAUUUCUGUUUGUUACUCGAGUCUGAGAAUGACUGAUGGGUAAGCAAAAACAUAAAAAAGCCAAUUUGCUCCACAGUCCUCUGCUUGGACUGGCACCUCAACAAUGUUUGCUGGCAGCAGGAUCAAAUGCAGAGUGUUUUCUGCCUAGAUUAAGGAAGUGGAUGAAAAGCAGCCAGUACACCCUGGGGCAGCAAGAAGCCUUUUGGUCAGCUGAUGUCAGAGUUUGAGGGUAGUUGCACCAGUGGCUGGGUCCAUAGGGUCAGCUUCUCUGCCACUGGGAGCUGCCUAGCUUGGGUCAGUCAUAAAAGCACUUUAUCUAUUGCUGAUGCCUCAAAAAGUAUAUAGGUCUCAACUCUGAAAAGAGAGUUCCUGCCACUCCAGAAUCAUCUGUCUUGGACAAUAGUGUUGUGGCUGCUGGCCAUGACUGCUGCCCUGUGCUCUUUAACUACAAUGACCACGGCUGCUUGACCUUUGGGUCCAAGUGAGACAUUCCAAUACAGAGCACCCAGCACAGCAUGUCUGCCAUGGAACAUUUCUGCAACGUGGAUACAAGGGCCACGCCUGAGGACCGCAAUACAGCCUUGGAGAUGCCGCACCAGAAUAGCAUCACUCAAGCGUCUAUUUAAGAGGUAGACAAACAAGAUUGUCACAAACUUUGCACUACUGGCAUCAAUAGAGCCAUGACAAUUUGGGAUUUCAAGACCUUAGAGUCUUCUAUCCAGGGUCUCUGGAUAAUGUGAUGCUGAGUGAGCCUCUGCCAUCCAGCACGACAACAGUGGCUCUGCCAACAGAUAGCAAUGAAAGCCAGCCCCAAAGAAACACUGAAAACACACAUCACACAAAUAUUGUGUGGUUUUGUUUCAGUAUAAAAUUGGUGAAAGUGUUGGUAUUUUAAAAGCAACAGUGAUUUUUUUGGGGGGCGGAGGCCAUUUCAUUCCAUUGUUGACCAAAGCUUCUCAUUAAGUAGUUUAUUAUGGAGAAUUGUCACACUAACUUAAAGGAAAGGGUGAUGGAAAUAUGUAAAUUGUCCACUAGAAAAUUAAGUUAAAAUACUGAAUGUGG